UUCCGGUUGAUCCUGCCGGACCCCACUGCUAUCGGGAUAGGACUAAGACAUGCUAGUCAAGCGCUUUCUAGCUAAUGUGAGAGCGCGGCGUACAGCUCAGUAACACGUGGCCAACCUGCCCUUGGGACGGGAACACCCCCGGGAAACUGGGGUUAAUUCCCGAUAGGUGAAGAAGUCUGGAAUGAUUCUUCGCUCAAAAGACGUUUAUGUCAUGCUCAUAUUCGUCGCCCAGGGAUGGGGCCGCGACCGAUCAGGUAGUUGGUGAGGCAAUGGCUCACCAAGCCUUUUACCGGUGCGGGCCGUGAGAGCGGGAGCCCGGAGAUGGGCACUGAGACAAGGGCCCAGGCCCCACGGGGCGCAGCAGUCGCGAAAAUUUUGCAAUACACGAAAGUGUGACAGAGCUAUCCCGAGUGCCAUCCGCUGAGGAAGGCUUUUACCCAGUAUAAAUAGCUGGGAGAAUAAGGAGAGGGCAAGUCUGGUGUCAGCCGCCGCGGUAAUACCAGCUCUCCGAGUAGUGUGGACGUUUAUUGGGCCUAAAGCAUCCGUAGCUUGCUAGAUAAGUCCUCUGUUAAAUCCACCGAUUCAAUCGUUGGAUUGCGGGGGAUACUGUUUGGCUAGGGGACGGGAGAGGUCGACGGUAUUUCCGGGGUAGGGGUGAAAUCCUAUAAUCCCGGGAGGACCACCAGUGGCGAAGGCUGUCGACUAGAACGCGCCCGACGGUGAGGGAUGAAAGCUGGGGGAGCGAACCGGAUUAGAUACCCGGGUAGUCCCAGCUGUAAACGAUGCAGGCUAGGUGUUUGGGCGGCCACGAGCCGCCCUAGUGCCGCAGGGAAGCUGUUAAGCCUGCCGCCUGGGGAGUACGGCCGCAAGGCUGAAACUUAAAGGAAUUGGCGGGGGAGCACCACAAGGGGUGAAGCUUGCGGUUUAAUUGGAUUCAACGCCGGG
rnacentral:rRNA from 1 species